AUUGAACGCUGGCGGCAGGCCUAACACAUGCAAGUCGAGCGGAGCGGCGGACGGGUGAGUAAUGCCUAGGAAUCUGCCUGGUAGUGGGGGAUAACGUCCGGACAGGGGAGCUAAUACAGCAUACUAGAGGAUGGGCCUAGGUCGGAUUAGCUAGUUGGUGGGGUAAAGGCCUACAAAGGCGACGCGCCGUAACUGGUCUGAGGGGAUGAUCAGUCACACUGGAACUGAGACACGGUCCAGACCCCUACGGGAGGCAGCAUUGGGGAAUAUUGGACAAUGGGCGAAAGCCUGAUCCAGCCAUGCCGCGUGUGUGAAGAAGGUCUUCGGAUUGUAAAGCACUUUAAGUUGGGAGGCGUUACCAACAGAAUAAGCACCGGCUAACUUCGUGCCAGCAGCCGCGGUAAUUC
rnacentral:rRNA from 1 species